rnacentral:rRNA from 1 species
UAGCAUAUGCUUGUCUCAAAGAUUAAGCCAUGCAUGUCUAAGUACGCACGGCCGGUACAGUGAAACUGCGAAUGGCUCAUUAAAUCAGUUAUGGUUCCUUUGGUCGCUCGCUCCUCUCCUACUUGGAUAACUGUGGUAAUUCUAGAGCUAAUACAUGCCGACGGGCGCUGACCCCCUUCGCGGGGGGGAUGCGUGCAUUUAUCAGAUCAAAACCAACCCGGUCAGCCCCUCUCCGGCCCCGGCCGGGGGGCGGGCGCCGGCGGCUUUGGUGACUCUAGAUAACCUCGGGCCGAUCGCACGCCCCCCGUGGCGGCGACGACCCAUUCGAACGUCUGCCCUAUCAACUUUCGAUGGUAGUCGCCGUGCCUACCAUGGUGACCACGGGUGACGGGGAAUCAGGGUUCGAUUCCGGAGAGGGAGCCUGAGAAACGGCUACCACAUCCAAGGAAGGCAGCAGGCGCGCAAAUUACCCACUCCCGACCCGGGGAGGUAGUGACGAAAAAUAACAAUACAGGACUCUUUUGAGGCCCUGUAAUUGGAAUGAGUCCACUUUAAAUCCUUUAACGAGGAUCCAUGU